rnacentral:rRNA from 1 species
GAGUUUGAUCCUGGCUCAGGAUGAACGCUAGCGGCAGGCUUAACACAUGCAAGUUCGAGGGGUAACAGGUUUUAGUUUACUAGAAUGCUGACGACCGGCGCACGGGUGAGUAACGCGUAUACAAUUUACCUUUUACAGGAGAAUAGCCCAGAGAAAUUUGGAUUAAUGCUCCAUGGUAUUAAUUGAUCACCUGAUCGAUUAAUUAAAGCUUCGGCGGUAAAAGAUGAGUAUGCGUCCUAUUAGCUAGAUGGUAAGGUAACGGCUUACCAUGGCGACGAUAGGUAGGGGUCCUGAGAGGGAGAUCCCCCACACUGGUACUGAGACACGGACCAGACUCCUACGGGAGGCAGCAGUGAGGAAUAUUGGGCAAUGGAGGCAACUCUGACCCAGCCAUGCCGCGUGCAGGAAGACGGCCCUAUGGGUUGUAAACUGCUUUUAUAUAGGAAGAAACUUAUCCACGUGUGGAUAACUGACGGUACUAUAAGAAUAAACACCGGCUAACUCCGUGCCAGCAGCCGCGGUAAUACGGAGGGUGCAAGCGUUAUCCGGAAUCAUUGGGUUUAAAGGGUCCGUAGGCGGGCAAUUAAGUCAGAGGUGAAAUCCCACAGCUCAACUGUGGAACUGCCUUUGAUACUGGUUGUCUUGAGUUAUAGUGAAGUAGAUAGAAUAUGUAGUGUAGCGGUGAAAUGCUUAGAGAUUACAUAGAAUACCGAUUGCGAAGGCAGUCUACUAACUAUAUACUGACGCUAAUGGACGAAAGCGUG